UACGUAGGGCGCGAGCGUUGUCCGGAAUUAUUGGGCGUAAAGAGCUCGUAGGCGGCCUGUUGCGUCCGCUGUGAAAUCCCAGGGCUCAACCCUGGGCGUGCAGUGGAUACGGGCAGGCUGGAGGCAGGCAGGGGAGAACGGAAUUCCCGGUGUAGCGGUGAAAUGCGCAGAUAUCGGGAGGAACACCGGUGGCGAAGGCGGCUCACUGGCCCGGUACUGACGCUGAUGCACGAAAGCUAGGGGAGCAAACGGG
rnacentral:rRNA from 1 species